rnacentral:piRNA from 1 species
UCCCGGUACCUUUGAAUUUGGGAACUGG